rnacentral:lncRNA from 1 species
UCCAUAAUGGUUGAACUAGUUUACACUCCCACCAACGGUGUAGAAGUGUUUCUUUUUCUCCACAACCUUGGCAGCAUCUGUUGUUUUUUCAACUUUUUAAUAAUAGUCAUUCUAACUGGUGUAAGAUAGUAUCUCAUUGUGGUUUUGAUUUGCAUUUCUCUAAUGAUAGGUUAUGUUGAACUUUUUUUCAUAAGUUUGUUGAUCGCAUGCAUGUCUUCUUUUGAGCAGUGUCUGUUCAUGUUCUUUGCUCACUCUUCAAUGGGCUUGUCUGUUGUUUUCUUGUAAAUUUGUUUUAAGUUCCUUGUAGAUGUUGAAUGUUAGACCUUUGUUAGAUGAAUAGAUUACAAGAAUUUUCUCCCAUUCUGUACAUUGUCUGUUCACUCUGUUGAUAGUUUAUUUUGCUGUGCUAGUUUAUUUUGCUGUGCAGAAUCUCUUUAAUUAGAUCCCAUUUGUCAACUUUUGCUUUUGUUGCAAUUGCUUUUUGGAUCUUUGUCAUGAAAACUUUGCUUAUGCCUAUGUCCUGAAUGG